rnacentral:ncRNA from 14 species
UUCGUCUCACGUAACUGGCGAAUCCGACCGAUCACACCGUGUCGUAAGGUGGGCCUAUCCACCGUGAAGCGUGAGAUUUUAUUGCCGUGCGCCUGGGUAGCCCGA